AGGACGAACGCUGGCGGCGCGCUUAACACAUGCAAGUCGAGCGAGAACCGGUCCUUCGGGACCGGGGAAAGCGGCGAACGGGUGAGUAACACGUGGGUAAUCAACCCUCAGUACCGGGAUAGCCCGAGGAAACUCGGAUUAAUACCGGAUGGCCCAACAGCUCUUCGGGGCGGUUGGAAAAGGUAGCUUCGGCCUCCGACUGAGGACGAGCCCGCGGCGGAUUAGCUUGUUGGCGGGGUAAUGGCCCACCAAGGCGACGAUCCGUAGCUGGUCUGAGAGGACGAUCAGCCACACUGGGACUGAGACACGGCCCAGACUCCUACGGGAGGCAGCAGUGGGGAAUCUUGCGCAAUGGGCGAAAGCCUGACGCAGCAACGCCGCGUGGAGGACGAAGGCUUUCUGAGUUGUAAACUCCUUUCAGCAGGGACGAUUGUGACGGUACCUGCAGAAGAAGCACCGGCCAACUACGUGCCAGCAGCCG
rnacentral:rRNA from 1 species